GCUUCGCCAGCCUCAGGACAGCCUGGACACACACUGAGUGACCAACGAGGUCUUUCCCCGCUCCCCGGCUGCCCGUCCACAGGGCCCAGAGCCCGAGGUCAGGGGCCUGGGGGGAGCUGGCAGGUUGGCCAUGGCCCUGAGCAGGGGCCCCUCCUGAGCCUCUGGGUCUACAAGGCUCCCGGGCAUCCAUCUUCCCAACAUGCUGCUCCAUGCAUCGUCCUGAAUCCCCACUGGGCCUCGACCUGACCCUGAUUAGGCCUUGAAACUCCCACUUUACCAGGCCCAGAACUGCCCUGAAACUCUCACAUGCCCCAAAAUACAAAGGUGCUUUCUCUCCCCUGAAGUAUGGUUUCCCAGGGCUUCAGCGUUCUGCUCCAAACUGCACUUGCCAUGGGGGAGGCCCAGAGAGCCACCCUGACCCCCAUCUUAAGCCGUACCUCUCCGGUUCUCUUGUGCCAAGCUCUGCCUUCCGCAUCCUAGGGCCCCCUUCCUUCUCGCCUAUGGGCCAGCUCUUCCAGCGUGGCUGUGCUGGCUGACAGCUCCCGUCUGGAAGAGUCCUGGGCCUCCUGCUCAGAGUCACUCAGUCCCUAACUCCCCCCACCCAGCUUUUAUGGAGAAUUCCAGAGCUGACCCUGCUCUCCACGAUGCGCUUAGAGAACCUGUGGUUUGUGGGAGACGCACAGCCAGACCCACUGGGAGAAGGAAGCUGGUACCUCAGCCUCUGCGUCCCCUUGAUUCAGGUACCACUUAACUGAACCACAGAGUGAACUUCCCAAACUCCCUGUUUGAUUGGGUUCAGCCACCGGCGUUUACUGGGCUGGUGCAGGGUUGACCUCACUGGCUUCCUGCUAAGGACUGUGGGCUCCAGGUUGUAAUUAACCACGCUCUAUACCGCGGAUUCGCUUUCAAACUGGCCUGAGAUCUUUGGAUGAAAGAAGCCACAGAGUUAUUAUGGCUGUCCAUAAAAAUGGGCCAGAAGAGUAAAUGCCAGCUCCUGGCCAACCCCCGCCCCCAAAUCCCACUCCCAACAGGUGCCAGGCGAGUCUCAGCAACACCCCACCUGCUCCCUCCCAAUCUCUGCAGCUCCCAGAGGAGCGGAUCAAAGGGAUGCAACCCACACACCCUGCUCCGCUCCAGCCACCAAAAGCCCCAGGAACACGGUCCCACAGGGGGCAAGUCCCCAGCAGCCCUGAGAAGCGCUGACGCUGGCAGGGAGGGAAGAAGGGCCCCAGCAGCUGACACGGGAAAGCUGGAACAGUGCAUCCUCACAACCCAUCGACCCCCUUCCUGUGACCGCUCUUCCUUCUCUUCCUCAGGCUUCCCUUGGGCAGGACAGUGGGAUUCCCUUGCCAGGAAACCCCAGAUACCCUCACCUCAUACUCUGGGUCUCCUGUGGACCCUCGAGGCUGCCGCCCAAGACAGGGACAACAGGCCCCAAAGGCUCUCAGGGCUGCAGCUCGGCCCUCAGCUGGUCCCUGCUCACCAGAGCACCCAGCCGCCCAACACAACGCUGAGGGCUGGACAGGGCCUCAUGUUGGGACCAGGCCCAGGUAGGACCAGGUCUGGGGCCCUGUCCCUCCACCCCGUGUCCCAGCAGGUGGCCAAAGAGGCACUGAUCUGCUUUCUGGAGUGAGUCUGCCCCCUGCAGGGCCCAGGCAGGACACACAGCCCCAAGGGGAGAGCAGAAGUGCGCUGGCCCAUCCACCCAGGGUGGAGCCGCGGGGAGAGGCAGGCGCCUUGAGCGGAGGAUGAGGAGGAGGGUGACGGGAGCAGCCAGGAGUCACACAGGCAGCACGGCAGUUAGCCACUGUGUGCAGCACCUGCCGUGUGGAGGUGCUGCCCUCCGGAGCUUGGAGGCGCUGGGGCACCACGGGAACCUUCCACCGUUGAAGUCUUCGUUCCCUAAGUGAUGGGGCUUAGGAAGGAGCCUCGUUGCUUCCUGAUUCCCAAGGCUGGCUGCUUGACCUUUGACACAGGGCGAGUCGUGGUCUUGGAAAGCAUGUCGGAGUGUGGAUCCCAGCUCUCACACCAGGCAGGUCACUUAACCAGUCUGAGCCUCAUUCUUCAGAUGUGUAAAAUGGGCACAAUGGUACCAAUUCAUGGGGUAAAGAUGACAUGAAAUAAAGGAUGAAAAGAAGCUCCAUAAGGAGAAAAGUGCUAGACACAUUAUGACUUCCCCCUUUAUUAUAAUCCCCUCUCUUGGCAUCUCUUGCAUUAACACGUGCUCAUUCACAAUCAUUGGCAUGGAGCUUGGUCAGGCACCGAUGGACACUGGACGGGGCUGCUUCCACGUAGCUGCAGCCCUGGGGAGCAGGGGUGUGAGCCUGGGGCAGGGGAGGGGCAAUAGUGGUCCAGCAGCCCUGACACAGCUGCCCUCCCUGGAGUGGCUGUGCCGUGCAGAUGACCGAGGGGACACAGUUGUGCCUUGGAUGGAAGGUGCAGAUCCCACGCCCACACCGCCUCUCCCACACCUCAGACUGGAGUGCUGGGGCGACCACCUCUCCUCCAGCUCAGGACGGCUCCUGAGUCGGCUUUGACUGAAACGCCUACACCUGGGCUUCGCUGCCAACUUCCCCAGGGUUCCUAAUAGGGCCCCAGAGGUCCUUGGAUGGAGCCCAGCUUCUCAUUGUCCUCCCUGGGGUUGAGUGAAAGGCUCCCAGGCCACAGCCCCCAUCAGGCCCGGGGUCCAGCUCAUUUCACUGCCCCACAUGGACUAACCCCGUACCCCACCAAGCUCCCCAAUGCCAGCUCGGAAAAGGAGGGGGCUGCCCCCUCAAUAGCCUUGGCCUGGGUCUCAGGCCCAGCAAGCCUGGGCUAUGGACCCCACAGGCCCUUGAAGCAGCCAUGGGGCUCAGCUCUGAGGCCCUCCUCUGACCCAGGCCCCUCCCUCAGACUGGGGGAGACCCCGUCCCCUUCUGCCCUCAGUGCAGUCAGCUGUCUGACCUUCCUCUCAUUUCUCACAGCUGGUCUUCGUUCAUUCUCUCUCCCUGCAUUCAACACGUGUGUUGAGCUCUGUAACAUUCUAAGAAUGCGGAUGAGGAUGACUCCAGAACUCUCCCUGCCCUGAAGGAACUCACAGGCAUUGACAGCACCAGCAGGAGGCUGGGCCGCAGAGAGACAGACACAGCCCGCCCCUCCAAGUGCAUGGUCGACACUGGUGCAGGCGGGCGCCGACAUGCGAACACCUGAGGGCACCCCACACAAUCCAGGUGCCACAGAGAAGGGGGUGUUCACCUCAGUCUGAAUGUGGAAUAAAAACCUGGUCAUAUCCAAAAAAACAAAGAUGGGGGUGCAGAGAGAAAGAGGGAGAGAGGGGAGGAAGGUCAGAUCAGACUGCGGUCACUCACUGAACAAGGGCCCAAGGCACCCGGCCACAAGCCUCAGUCACAGAGAGCAGUGUGGAGAGCAGGACCUCACAGCGGGCCAGGGCAAGGUAGAAGAGCAGGGGCUUGAGUAGAAACCAGGACAAGAGAGGCAGGAAGAGGCCAGCCAAGGUGGCCUCUUGGCCCGUGGGGAGUCUAAGCUUUCCUCUGUGGGGAGAACUCAUGCAGCCUCUCUAAGAGGGAGGAAGACUUUCCAUCUUCAGCUGUGGCCCCCACUGGAGGGUGGAGCAUGGAUGAUGGGGAAGCUCAAACUGGAGGCAAGGAGGCCAGGGAGGAGGCUGUGGCAACACGCCCAGCAAGUAAAAACAGGGAGGUCGUGAAGACGUUCCAGCUAACAGCAUCCACGGGAUGGACUUGUGAAGGGGUGAGGGGGAGAGGAGGCCAAGAGGACUCCCAGGCUCCUGGCUUGGGUUUCCAGGUCCUCUGGGAUAGGGGACCAGGAAGGCACAGAUCUGGGAGAAGAUGGGUGCUCCUUAGGAGGAAAUGGAUUUGAGGAGGCAAUGGCCAGUGCAGUUGGGCAUGUGACUCUGGAGAGGAGAAGAGAGCCCUCACUAGAGAGUCAUCAGAAUAUAUUGGUAAUUGUGACCACGGACAUGUCCCCAGGAACCAAAGGGGAGAGUAAAGAGGAAAAAGAGAAGAGCGCUUAUGCCGGAAUCCAGGGGACCAGCCAACAUGGAAGGAACGAGCUGAGCAAGAGGAGGCUGCCAGUCUGAGCUGGGACAUCCAGAGAGGCAGGGGGACAGGGAUGCAGAGGGGGCGGGGAGGAAGGUCAGUGCAGACUGAGGUCACUCAUUGAGUCAUGACAUGGCUGGUUCACUGGGUGAUUUGGAAUGGCAGGGCCUCGGGGUGGUGGGCACUGCCGUCUGGAUGCCCAUCAUCUUGAAAGGCAGUGCUCUCUGCAGGAAGCAGGAGGCAGCAGGCUGGGGCUGGGGUAAUUGUGCUAUAUCCCCUUCUCCCCCGCUCCCAGCCCCUCGCAGCCUGCCCCAGAGCACUCUGUACCUCUUCCCUCUGUCUCCCCUCACCUGACUCUACUAGAACCCCACUGCUGCCUUAUUGCUAGACACCCUAUAGGGUGUUGAGUUGAACUGGCUCGCUGCCCUGCGUGUCUCUGGUUGGCCCCAUUUGCCCACGUUUGCUGGGUGCCAUCAUCUCUGAGCCACCUGUGUCCCUUGUGUUUGUCAUUGCUGCACCUGAGUGCUGAUGGUCAGCCCAGGUGCCUUGUGUCCUGGGAGGCCCCCAGGCCGGGCUUUGUCACGGUUGAGCCCCUCGACCCUGCUGCACCCACUCACCCACAACCCCAAAUCAGGGUCUUGGCAGAUGUCGCCCACAGAAACCAGGCCAGAAUCAAAA
rnacentral:lncRNA from 1 species